AAAAAGGCAAACCCUGAGUUUCCAUGUCCAACGUUUGACUAUCCGUCUUAUAUGAAAUUUUUUUAUAAUUAGUAUUUUCAUUAUUGUUAGAUGAUAAAACAUGAUUAAUACUUUAUGCGUGACUUAUCUUUUUAAUUUUUUUUUAUAAUUUUAUCAAAUAAAACGGACGGUCAAACAUUGGACAUGGAAAUUCAGGGGUUGUCUUUUU
rfam:Oryza barthii chromosome 8, whole genome shotgun sequence.